rnacentral:lncRNA from 1 species
GGGACCUGGCUUACAGAUCCUGAGCCUUGUGAUCACAGCAUUGUGCAAGGUUCUCCUGGAAUCCUGGGUGUGUCAGGACGUACCAGUGUGUGCAAGGCCGUGGAACGAAUCCUGGGUCUGCAAGCACAGAGCUCCAAGCAGCAAGAGGAAACCAAAGGCAAAAGAACAGAACUUUUUAUUGAAAAAAAACAAAAAAUGCUCUCAGAGACGUGCCCCGAGUCCUCAUCCAGUUCUCUCUGGUUUUUAUUAGGUCAAAGGUGCAAGACUCUUUGAAAACCAACUUGGGAACAGUUGCUGGGAAUUUUAAAGCGCGGCCGGGCCAAGAGGCACAAUGGAAAGCAACGUGUGACCGUGAAAGAGACACAUUCAAAAUCGCAUGGUUUGGUCUCCAGCGUUCACAGAAACCUGCCUGCGGGCGGGGGUGGCGCCCGGGGGCAGGGAGGCCCGAGGAAGAGGGUCUCUGUGCUCGGCAGAGUGGCCACCCUGGAAAGCCAUGUGUAGACGCGUGAAUCCAACUGCCCCACGGAGAGCUGCAGACCCUGCAGGGAAGGGAGAGGCAGAAUGGCGUUUGAAUAAACACUGUGCACAGCUGCUCCUCCCCAGCGGAGCCAGAGAAACUCUGUCGUUGUCCAAAAAGAAUUCGCAUUUGAUGAGGGACCCGUUAACUAGGAGCUGAGCUGCCCCCGAUGGCCACCUAUGCUGAGCACCUCGUGGGACUCCACCUGCGUGUUCUCCCUCCCCGCAGCUCUCCCCUUGUGGCUCCCAUGCCUGGAAGGCUCUAAGUCCCCCCUAAACCUGGGGGUAUAUCCCCCUUACAAGAGGCAGUGCACAUUGUUCAUGAUGUGGCCACUGUUCCCCUUGGGGCCACUGCCCAGCUUGUAUCCUAGGUGAGGGUGGAGAGGUGGGAAGGCCUGGUGCCCCCAAGUGGCCGCUAGGGGUGGCCAAAGGGGAGACUCAGGAUGUGCACCCCAGAUUAUGGUGAAGAGGCAUUGAGAAC